GGUUCGAUUCCCCACAUGGGUACAAUGUGUGAAGCCCAUUUCUGGUGUCCCCCUGCCGUGAUAUUUGCUGGAAUAUUGCUAAAAGCAGCGUAAAACUAAACUCACUCACUCAGUCACUCAGUUUAAAAGAAAAUUACCAGACGAAACCUCUUCCUGUUAGACAUGAUCUGUCAGUACUGAAUUGCACAUAUUCUCACUGCCAUAUCAUACAUUCAAAGACAUUUGUUUCAGAAGUGGACAGUUUCACUGCUUCUGAUGAAUGGAUAAUCAUGACUAUUUCUGUUGGUUGGAUGUGCAUAUUUCCAGGAGAAUCACGAGGUGAAGGUGAGUCUUAUUCAGUAGGUUUUACCCCCAGACACUCAUAGAGUAACUGUUCCAAACAUCUGCGGUCGUAGCAUUGAAGUAUUCAGAGAGUCUGUUACUCUAAAUCUCAAAAUAACUCUGGUUCUGCCUGUGUACACAUUUCGGAGUCUCCUUCAUGAUCUGACGACAAAUGUCUCCAGAUCAAAGACAUCAGAUUCAUUCCAUGGUUUGUCCAUGAGCUUUGGUCUAUCACUCUACUUGUACCACAAUUUCCAUUCUCAGAAGGCUGCAGCCAUGCUUUACAGUAAAACUGUGGUCGUGUGGGUAGUGAAGAAAAAUGUUACCACUCUGAAGCUCUGCAGUUUGUAAAAACGUCGGGAGAGACUGAGGUGUAUAUGUACCUCCAUGUUUUAUGAAACACGGACAUAACAGAUCCAUAGAUAGCUUGCCUAACGGUUAUUUGUGUUGAGACGUGUUGUCAUACUGUCACGGUUGUAGUUGGCUAUCUUAUUAGUGUUGUAAUCUUUAAAUCUUGCUGAAAAGGUUCCACUUUCCAACCCUUGAGGGUGUUUCAGGCCAGGAUAGGUCCCUGGUACCCUUGCAUGUCACCCAGUGGUGCAAGGAUAGGUUCCUGGUACCCUUGCAUUUUACCUGUUGUGUGCAAGGAUAGGUCCCUGGUACCCUUGCAUGUCAUCCAGUAGAGUGCAAGGAUAGGUCCCUGGUACCCUUGCAUUUUACCUGUUGUGUGCAAGGAUAGGUCCCUGGUACCCUUGCAUGUCACCCAGUAGAGUGCAAGGAUAGGUCCCUGGUACCCUUGGAUGUCACCCUGUAGCUUGCAAGGAUAGGUCCCUGGUACCCUUGCAUGUCAACCUGUAGUUUGCAAGGAUAGGUCCCUGGUACCCUUGCAUUUCACCCUGUCGUGUGCAAGGAUAGGUCCCUGGUACCCUUGCAUGUCACCCUGUUGCUUGCAAGGAUAGGUCCCUGGUACCUUUGCAUGUCACCCAGUUGUGUGCAAGGAUAGGUCCCUGGUACCCUUGCAUGUCACCCUGUCAUGUGCGAGGAUAGGUCCCUGGUACCCUUGAAUGUCACCCAGUUGUGUGCAAGGAUAGGUCCCUGGUACCUUGCAUGUCACCCUGUCAUGUGCAAGGAUAGGUCCCUGGUACCCUUGCAUGUCACCCUGUCGUGUGCAAGGAUAGGUCCCUGGUACCCUUGCAUGUCACCCUGUCGUGUGCAAGGACAGGUCCCUGGUACCAUUGCAUGUCACCCUGUUGUGUGCAAGGAUAGGUCCCUGGUACCCUUGCAUGUCACCCUGUCGUGUGCAAUGACAGGUCCCUGGUACCCUUGCAUGUCACCCUGUAGUUUGCAAGGAUAGGUCCCUGGUACCCUUGCAUUUCACCCUGUCGUGUGCAAGGAUAGGUCCCUGGUACCCUUGCAUGUCACCCUGUCGCUUGCAAGGAUAGGUCCCUGGUACCCUUGCAUGUCACCCUGUAGCUUGCAAGGAUAGGUCCCUGGUGCAUGUCACCCAGUCAUGUGCAAGGAUAGGUCCCUGGUACCCUUGCAUGUCACCCUGUCAUGUGCGAGGAUAGGUCCCUGGUACCCUUGAAUGUCACCCAGUUGUGUGCAAGGAUAGGUCCCUGGGUACCUUGCAUGUCACCCUGUCAUGUGCGAGGAUAGGUCCCUGGUACCCUUGCAUGUCACCCUGUCGUGUGCAAGGACAGGUCCCUGGUACCAUUGCAUGUCACCCUGUUGUGUGCAAGGAUAGGUCCCUGGUACCCUUGCAUGUCAACCUGUAGUUUGCAAGGAUAGGUCCCUGGUACCCUUGCAUUUCACCCUGUCGUGUGCAAGGAUAGGUCCCUGGUACCCUUGCAUGUCACCCUGUAGCUUGCAAGGAUAGGUCCCUGGUACCCUUGCAUGUCACCCUGUCGUGUGCAAGGAUAGGUCCCUGGUACCCUUGCAUGUCACCCUGAGGUGUGUGCAAGGAUAGGUCCCUGGUACCCUUGCAUGUCACCCUGUCGGGUACCGUAUUAGGACCCCUUGCUUAUUUCACAGUGGGGAUUCUAUCCUUGUAUCAUGCCAGGUUAGGUCUACAGGACUCCAUGCUUGUCAGAGAGAUUUCAUAUGGGGUUACCCUUGCCAGGAUAGGUGUUCAGCAUAUCUUUACACAAAAUGACCCUGAGGCAAGUUUUCCAUGUGACCUUGAAGUUUGUUUGUUAGAAGGCCUGGCGGUACAUACACAUUUUACUCACUCUUGAUACAUAUACAGACAGCAUCUUUAAAGUGUUUUUUUCCGAACUCUCACACAACUGUUUAGCACUGUCACAGUCUUCUGUGUGGAAAUUGUGGGACAAGUAGAACUCAUGGACAGACCAUGGAAUGAAUCUGAUGUCUUUGAUCUGGAGACAUUUGUCGUCAGAUCAUGAAGGAGACUCUGAAAUGUGUACAAACACAGAACCAUUUGAUAUGUAGUUCAUUUGAUAUGUAGAGUUACUGACUCUGAAUAUUUCAAUGCAAUGACCGCAGAUGUUUAGAACUGUUACACUAUGAGUGUCUUUGGGGAAAACCUACUGAAUAAGACCUCGUGAUUCUCCUGGAAAUAUGUACAUCUAAGGAACAGAAGUAUGUAACGAUUAUCUGAAGCAGUAAAACUGUCCACGUCUGAAAAAAAAAUGUCUGUAUGCGGUAUUGUGUGAUUCAGUACUUUCAUGUCUAAUAGAAACCGGUUUUGACUGGUGAUUUUCUUAUCAAUUAUCAUUUUCAAUUUAUAAUGUAUUUGUGUGUUUUAAUAAAUCUUUGAAAUGAAUGUGCUUUUUAUAUAUAAAUUCACAACAGGACAAACAUUCAACGCUGCAACAAAUCUUUAUUUUUUUGCUGCUUUUUACAGUCAAAUCAAGGAUGCUGAAAUGGAUUACGAAUCCUAUAUAACCACAAUCGCUCAUAAUUUAUGGCAGGGGGUGUCCAUUUUGUUCUUAAGGGGGUAUGGAAGGAGAAGAGGGUAGCUACAUAAAAAUAUUUAAAAAUUAUGGGGUAAGGGGGGGGUAAUUGAUUUUGUACAUUGAACCACCUCUAGCAAUAAAUUAUGAACGGUCCUUUGUUGAGUGUGAUACUGCAUUUACUGUCAUCUUGACCCGAGUGCCAUUGAACACAAUUUGACUUCUGAAAUGAUCCUUAUAACAACCAACAACAUCUGGACAUCGUCUACUCCUGAACAACUCAACAUUCACCGAUGAACAAAUU